rnacentral:rRNA from 1 species
AUUGAACGCUGGCGGCAUGCCUUACACAUGCAAGUCGAACGGCAGCGCGGGGCAACCUGGCGGCGAGUGGCGAACGGGUGAGUAAUAUAUCGGAACGUGCCCUGGAGUGGGGGAUAACGCAGCGAAAGUUGCGCUAAUACCGCAUACGAUCUAAGGAUGAAAGCAGGGGACCGCAAGGCCUUGUGCUCCUGGAGCGGCCGAUAUCUGAUUAGCAGUUGGUGGGGUAAAGGCCUACCAAGGCAUCGAUCAGUAGCUGGUCUGAGAGGACGACCAGCCACACUGGAACUGAGACACGGUCCAGACUCCUACGGGAGGCAGCAGUGGGGAAUUUUGGACAAUGGGCGCAAGCCUGAUCCAGCAAUGCCGCGUGAGUGAAGAAGGCCU